rnacentral:rRNA from 1 species
CCUACGGGAGGCAGCAGUGAGAAUAUUGACAAUGGUCGAAAGACUGAUCCAGCCAUGCCGCGUGCAGGAAGACGGCCCUAUGGGUUGUAAACUGUCUUUUGUUUGGGAAGAAACCUUUCUACGUGUAGAAAGCUGACGGUACCAUACGAAUAAGCACCGGCUAACUCCGUGCCAGCAGCCGCGGUAAUACGGAGGGUGCAAGCGUUAUCCGGAUUUAUUGGGUUUAAAGGGUCCGUAGGCGGACUUAUAAGUCAGUGGUGAAAUCCUGCAGCUCAACUGUAGAACUGCCAUUGAUACUGUAAGUCUUGAAUUCGGUUGAAGUGGGCGGAAUAUGGCAUGUAGCGGUGAAAUGCUUAGAUAUGCCAUAGAACACCGAUUGCGUAGGCAGCUCACUAAGCCUGGAUUGACGCUGAGGGACGAAAGCGUGGGUAGCGAACAGGAUUAGAUACCCUGGUAGUCCACGCCGUAAACCGAUGAUUACUCGACAUUUAGCGAUACACGGUUAGUGUUNUAUAGACGAAGACGAGUUAAGUAAGUACCGACCGUCGGGUAAGGUACGUUACGUUACGAGUAAGUUAGUUAAAGUUAAAGUUAGUUAGUUAGAGGCGUUGAGACGAGACGACGGACGACGACGAGGGAGGAGG